rnacentral:rRNA from 1 species
AUUGAACGCUGGCGGCAGGCCUAACACAUGCAAGUCGAGCGGAGCGGCGGACGGGUGAGUAAUGCCUAGGACUCUGCCUGGUCGUGGGGGAUAACGUUCGGAAACGGGAGCUAAUACCGCAUACUAUCAGAUGAGCCUAGGUCGGAUUAGCUAGUUGGUGGGGUAAAGGCCUACCAAGGCCACGAUCCGUAACUGGUCUGAGAGGAUGAUCAGUCCCACUGGAACUGAGACACGGUCCAGACUCCUACGGGAGGCAGCAGUGGGGAAUAUUGGACAAUGGGCGAAAGCCUGAUCCAGCCAUGCCGCGUGUGUGAAGAAGGUCUUCGGGUUGUAAAGCACUUUAAGUUGGGAGGCGUUACCAGCAGAAUAAGCACCGGCUAACUCCGUGCCAGCAGCCGCGGUAAUUC